rnacentral:sRNA from 12 species
GACCUAAACCAGUGGCUCCGGCUGCUGGUAUGGUCAAAAGUCCGGUCAAGGCCAGAAAACCCGUCGUGGGUUCUUGCCUUGACCGGUCAUGCAGGGAAACUUGCAUGAGUGGCUUCGGCCACU